rnacentral:rRNA from 1 species
GAUGAACGCUGGCGGCGUGCCUAAUACAUGCAAGUCGAACGCACAGCGAAAGGUGCUUGCCCCUUUCAAGUGAGUGGCGAACGGGUGAGUAACACGCGGACAACCUGCCUCAAGGCUGGGGAUAACAUUUGGAAACAGAUGCUAAUACCGAAUAAAACUUAGUGUCGCAUGACACAAAGUUAAAAGGCGCUUCGGCGUCACCUAGAGAUGGAUCCGCGGUGCAUUAGUUAGUUGGUGGGGUAAAGGCCUACCAAGACAAUGAUGCAUAGCCGAGUUGAGAGACUGAUCGGCCACAUUGGGACUGAGACACGGCCCAAACUCCUACGGGAGGCUGCAGUAGGGAAUCUUCCACAAUGGGCGAAAGCCUGAUGGAGCAACGCCGCGUGUGUGAUGAAGGCUUUCGGGUCGUAAAGCACUGUUGUAUGGGAAGAAUAGCUAGAAUAGGAAAUGAUUUUAGUUUGACGGUACCAUACCAGAAAGGGACGGCUAAAUACGUG